rnacentral:rRNA from 1 species
UACGUAGGGUGCAAGCGUUGUCCGGAAUUAUUGGGCGUAAAGAGCUCGUAGGCGGUUGUCGCGUCUGCUGUGAAAUCCUCAGGCUCAACUUGGGGCGUGCAGUGGGUACGGGCAGACUAGAGUGCGUAGGGGAGACUGGAAUUCCUGGUGUAGCGGUGAAAUGCGCAGAUAUCAGGAGGAACACCGAUGGCGAAGGCAGGUCUCUGGGCAUUAACUGACGCUGGAGGAGCGAAAGCAUGGGGAGCGAACAGG